rnacentral:tRNA from 1 species
GGAACUUUAGUUUAAAAAGAACGAAUGGCUGUUAACUAUUUGGUGUGUAUAGAGGCACAAGCUCCG